rnacentral:lncRNA from 1 species
UCCCAGCAGAUCAGUCAAGACCCCUCCUUAAGGCAAUCGGGGUCUGUGCCGCCACCAUUCGAAUUGGGGGUCGGGUCAUCAAACAUUUCCUAAGUGUAGUUCCCCACUUGCAGCCGCCUGCUCUUGUGGGCGCCGAUCUCCUUGUGCGGCUAGGUACGCACCUUGACACCAUCAACCAAGUCUUAUGGUCGCAGGUCAGCCCAAGAGACACCUCACAAAGUCCUGAAAUAGAGAACAUGAAAUCGGGACAGACCAUUCCCCACGCGUGCCAAGUUGCUGCGGAGAGCGACAAGACCAUUCCCCCCAGAACGGCAGGUAACCCGGUCCGUCUAGUAGUCAUGAAGGGGCAGAAAAUCCAUGGCUCACAAGCAUUCUUCCAACCCCUUCCUAGUUUUGCCGAACUUAACCUGACGGUCUGUGGCACCCCUCUCCUAGAACUGGACAAUCGUGCAACCUACCUCUUGGUUCAGAAUCCAACCAAUGCACCGAUCCUUGUUAAGGCCCAACAACCGCUGGGCGUCUUGGUAGAAGGUUCGUUUCAUGACUUCGAGCUGACGGUACCCGUCAUUGGGGAAUUACCAGCGUCUCUAAUCAGGGAGGGAAGUGUGGGAGACGUCCUCCUGUCUCACCCAACGGGUAUGAUCUCUGUAUUGCGCUAUGAGCCACUGAGAGACCAACCAAUCUGUGGGGCAACACUUGAACCAGGGGGCGACAUGCUGGUCUACACCUUGGCUGCCCAGCCAGAGUGCACUACCCAAGCGGGAACCAACACCUCUCCGGCGGAAGAGGAACCUUACCCCGGCUUUGAAGCAGAAAUCAACCAGCAACUUGAAAAAGCGGACGCAUUGACAAAUGAGGGGCAAAAAGAAGCCCUUCGAGAUCUCUUCCGCGAAUUCAAACCCAUCUUCUCGCGAGAUUCGCAUGACUGUGGGGUCACUGACUUACACACCGUGCGCAUUCCCACUGACCCCCAUGCACCACCAACGUUUGUGCGACAGUAUAGGAUUCCUCUGGCAGCAUAUGAGUCAAUCCAAGAGAUUCUGGACACACUGCUGAAGAAGGAGAUCAUAAGGGAAUGUAACUCGACAUAUAACUCGCCGAUCUGGCCGGUUCUGAAACCGACAGGGAAAUGGCGUCUUACCAUCGAUUACCGACCCUUGAACAAAAACGUUC